GAUGAACGCUGGCGGCGUGCCUAAUACAUGCAAGUCGAGCGAACGGACGAGAAGCUUGCUUCUCUGAUGUUAGCGGCGGACGGGUGAGUAACACGCGGAUAACCUACCUAUAAGACUGGGAUAACUUCGGGAAACCGGAGCUAAUACCGGAUAAUAUUUUGAACCGCAUGGUUCAAAAGUGAAAGACGGUCUUGCUGUCACUUAUAGAUGGAUCCGCGCUGCAUUAGCUAGUUGGUAAGGUAACGGCUUACCAAGGCAACGAUGCAUAGCCGACCUGAGAGGGUGAACGGCCACACUAGAACUGACACACGGUCCAGACUCCUACGGGAGGCAGCAGUAGGGAAUCUUCCGCAAUAGGCGAAAGCCUGACGGAGCAACGCCGCGUGAGUGAUGAAGGUCUUCGGAUCGUAAAACUCUGUUAUUAGGGAAGAACAUAUGUGUAAGUAAAUGUGCACAUCUUGACGGUACCUAAUCAGAAAGCCACGGCUAACUACGUG
rnacentral:rRNA from 1 species